rnacentral:rRNA from 1 species
AGAGUUUGAUCCUGGCUCAGGACGAACGCUGGCGGUGCGCCUUAUGCAUGCAAGUCGAGCGAAGCUUUUCAGUAGUUUACUACAGAAAAUGACUGAGCGGCGAACGGGUGAGUAACGCGUGAGCAAUCUACCUUAGUUACAGGGAUAGCCCGAGGAAACUCGGAUUAAUACCUGAUAUUCUUUACAUUUCGCAUGAAAUCAAAAGGAAAGGUCAGCCGAACUAAGAUGAGCUCGCGUUCUAUCAGCUAGUUGGUGAGGUAAAAGCUCACCAAGGCAACGACGGAUAGCUGGUCUGAGAGGACGAUCAGCCACACUGGGACUGAGACACGGCCCAGACUCCUACGGGAGGCUGCAGCAGGGAAUAUUGCGCAAUGAGCGAAAGCUUGACGCAGCGACACCGCGUGUGGGAUGACGGAUCUAGGUUUGUAAACCACUUUCAGGAGGGAAGAAAAUGACGGUACCUCCACAAGAAGCCCCGGCCAACUACGUGCCAGCAGCCGCGGUAAUACGUAGGGGGCGAGCGUUGUCCGGAUUUAUUGGGCGUAAAGAGCUCGUAGGCGGUUCAACAAGUCGGUCGUAAAAGUUCAGGGCUCAACCCUGAAAUGUCGAUCGAUACUGUUGUGACUAGGAUACGGUAGAGGUGAGUGGAAUUCCGAGUGUAGCGGUGAAAUGCGUAGAUAUUCGGAGGAACACCAAUUGCGAAGGCAGCUCACUGGGCCGCUAUCGACGCUGAGGAGCGAAAGCUAGGGGAGCAAACAGGAUUAGAUACCCUGGUAGUCCUAGCUGUAAACGAUGGAUACUAGACGUAGGAACUGGA